rnacentral:rRNA from 1 species
AUUGAACGCUGGCGGCAUGCCUUACACAUGCAAGUCGAACGGCAGCACGGGAGCAAUCCUGGUGGCGAGUGGCGAACGGGUGAGUAAAGUAUCGGAACGUGCCCAGUCGUGGGGGAUAACGUAGCGAAAGUUACGCUAAUACCGCAUACGAUCUAUGGAUGAAAGCGGGGGAUCGCAAGACCUCGCGCGAUUGGAGCGGCCGAUAUCAGAUUAGGUAGUUGGUGGGGUAAAGGCUCACCAAGCCGACGAUCUGUAGCUGGUCUGAGAGGACGACCAGCCACACUGGGACUGAGACACGGCCCAGACUCCUACGGGAGGCAGCAGUGCGGAAUUGUGGACAAUGGGCGAAAGCCUGAUCCAGCCAUGCCGCGUGCAGGAUGAAGGCCUUCGGGUUGUAAACUGCUUUUGUACGGAACGAAAAGGUUUGGCCUAAUAAGCUGAGCUCAUGACGGUACCGUAAGAAUAAGCACCGGCUAACUACGUGCCAGCCGCCGCGGUAA